rnacentral:rRNA from 1 species
GACGAACGCUGGCGGCGUGCUUAACACAUGCAAGUCGAACGGAAAGGCCCUGCUUUUGUGGGGUGCUCGAGUGGCGAACGGGUGAGUAACACGUGAGUAACCUGCCCUUGACUUUGGGAUAACUUCAGGAAACUGGGGCUAAUACCGGAUAGGAGCUCCUGCUGCAUGGUGGGGGUUGGAAAGUUUCGGCGGUUGGGGAUGGACUCGCGGCUUAUCAGCUUGUUGGUGGGGUAGUGGCUUACCAAGGCUUUGACGGGUAGCCGGCCUGUGAGGGUGACCGGCCACAUUGGGACUGCGAUACGGCCCAGACUGCUACGGGAGGCAGCAGUGGGGAAUAUUGCACAAUGGGCGGAAGCCUGAUGCAGCAACGCCGCGUGCGGGAUGACGGCCUUCGGGUUGUAAACCGCUUUCGCCUGUGACGAAGCGUGAGUGACGGUAAUGGGUAAAGAAGCACCGGCUAACUACGUG